GAGACGUAGAGGAGUUGAGUUCGUGUGUGUAGGGAGGCAGACAGCUCCGACGCAGACUACGGACCUCUCCAGGUCUCAGCCGUCAAAGACCCUGUCCGGUAGGAAACACUAGCCGGGGAUCAUGAGUGGCUGUCGAGUGUUCAUUGGGAGACUAAAUCCCGCAGCGAGGGAGAAAGAUGUGGAAAGAUUCUUCAAGGGUUACGGACGGAUCAGAGAUAUUGAUUUGAAAAGAGGUUUUGGUUUUGUGGAAUUUGAGGACCCAAGGGAUGCAGAUGACGCUGUUUAUGAACUUGAUGGGAAGGAACUUUGCAGUGAAAGGGUUACUAUUGAACAUGCUCGGGCUCGGUCUCGAGGUGGAAGAGGUAGAGGACGAUACUCCGACCGUUUUAGCAGUCGCAGACCUCGAAAUGAUAGACGGUAUGUGGUUUGGCUGAUGGGGCUUAGGAUAGGACCCAUUAGAAUUAAAUGGUUCUCAGACUAGUUUGUCUAGUUAGUCCACAUGCUGAGAAACUUGAUUGGUAGAAGUCUCUAGAAUCACUGUUUUGGCUUAAACUUGUCACAUAGCAUCUGACAUUGAAUGCUUACUUUUUUCUUCAGAAAUGCUCCACCUGUAAGAACAGAAAAUCGACUUAUAGUUGAGAAUUUAUCCUCAAGAGUCAGCUGGCAGGUUUGUUGAAAUACAGUUUUGAUAUUUUAAUGUGGCAUUUAAGAAUGUUAAUGGGUAGUUAAUGUUUUAUUAAUAUAUCUUAAAUUAUUGCUUUAUCUUAAAUUAAUGGAUUUAAUUCAAUUAUAAUUUUAAACUUUAGUUAAAUGUAACUGGGGGAUGUUUCAGAUUUUAAUAUUAGUGAUCAAAUGUAAAUGUUUUGAGGUUAUUUUUUCAUGUUUUUUAAAAUCAAUUUUAACCAAAUAUUA
rnacentral:lncRNA from 1 species